CCAAAACGAAAAUGGCGGCCAGCGGAGCAAGCCGAGCACGAUUUUUCUUCUUCUUCCGGAGAAGACGCAGCUGCGGUCGAUCGCGAAACAGCUCCUGCCAGGAGGGGGCAUCCACGGGCACCACCUCUCGGGCAGACAUCACCUGGUAGGAGUGGCCCUUAAGCAGACCAUUGGUCGUCGUGCUGCCCAUCUCGUCUGCGUGCUCCACCUGCAAAGAACACGCACAAAAGGGAACGAAGGCACUCAACAAGUGCCGCAGGAACAAUGCAUCUGCAUUCGAUUCGUCGCGCUCCAAGCCGGACGGUGAUGUAGUCGUGCCCCUGCGCCUGCGUAGCCAUGUCCGCAGUGUGACGUCGCUCAUGGUGACAUGUGACUUCGACAAUUAUUCAAGACAACAUCUGUUAUCUGAGCAAUCUGUUGCUUGUAUUGACGAAUUGAAGUUUAGAGAAAUAAUAAAACACAAACGGAAUGUCUGCGUCUUUUUUGUUUUACUUCACACCGAAGCAAGAGAGAUGUACUUCCGCUUCGCAUGCUUGUUCCCACGGUCGUGUGGUCAGGUGCGCAGGUAUCAGAACUAUGCCAUUUUCUACCGUGUUUUAGUGCGUGAUCACAUGCUGCAAUCCACUUGUUCUGCCUCAGUAUUCAUAUAGCACUGAAUUAAACCGCUAUUUAUGUUUCCUUGCGCACACUGUGCAAAAUCGUGCACUGCACGAACGAGACAACAGCUCACGCGCAGCACAGUCAGGGGAAAUGCGUAGCGCAGGAAAAAAAAAGAAAAGCCAGAAAAAAAAAUGAAGGCAGGACGGCCUGUGACGUAUGAGUCACGGGAUCCUCAAGGUCUGGUAUGGGAGAACGCAGGGAAGGAAUUUCACUUGCGAAGGCUAGAUGGGGCGAGUGGAGAGGGCGUCUAACCUGGCAAUGGAGCCCGUCUGCUGAAAUCAUUGGUUUGUGGCACUGAGGGCUAUUAAUGAGCCGAUUCGAAAAAUUUUUGCGGCAGAAUGCUCCCUAGAGAACACGUAACAACUUCGAGCGUAUGACCAAAAUUUGCUAAGCGGCCUGGUGAGGGGCCCUUUAAGAAGUACUCAAUCUCAAACAAGCUCGAAAGUGACGUGAUCUUGUGCGAUCACUUAGGAAGCCAGUUUCGCUUUCGCGAGACUUUGUCCUGUCGUUGAACCCUCUAUGUAUAGGCUGGUAGUGGUCUUAACAUGGAUAACGAGCUUGGCACAGCGCCAUAAACACUUGCCGGCGACACUAUCGGUGCCGAGUCACACAAAAUUUUUCGAGUGAGGCUAUCUCCUAAAGGGAUUGCCCAAGGAUACUGCCCAAGGAAAGACGUCUCCGCUUCAGACGACGAUAAGUGAAGAGAACUUGCUUCCGAAUUGUCCGUUCGU